AUACGUAGGGGGCGAGCGUUGUCCGGAAUUAUUGGGCGUAAAGGGUUCGCAGGCGGUCUUUUAAGUCAGAUGUGAAAUCUCACGGCUCAACCGUGAUAAGCAUUUGAAACUGGGAGACUUGAGUUAAGGAGAGGAAAGUGGAACUCCUAGUGUAGCGGUGAAAUGCGUAGAUAUUAGGAGGAAUACCAGUGGCGAAGGCGACUUUCUGGACUUAUACUGACGCUGAGGAACGAAAGCGUGGGGAGCAAACAGGAUUAGAUACCCUGGUAGUCCACGCCGUAAACGAUGAGUGCUAGGUGUUGGGGGUCAAACCUCGGUGCCGCAGCUAACGCAUUAAGCACUCCGCCUGGGGAGUACGUACGCAAGUAUGAA
rnacentral:rRNA from 1 species